rnacentral:antisense_RNA from 4 species
ACUUGCACGAAUUCUUUUUGACACGACAUUGCUCACAUUGCUUCCAGUGUAAUUUAUAGCUUCUUGGUUAAGCUGCCAUGAU